GAUGAACGCUGGCGGCGUGCCUAAUACAUGCAAGUCGAGCGAACAGACGAUGAGCUUGCUCCACGGGCGUUAACCGCGUACGUGUGAGGAACAUGUGGAGAACCUACCUAUAAGACUGGGAUAACUUCGUGAAACCGGUGCUAAUACCGUAUAAUAUAUUGAACCGCAUGGUUCGAUAGUUAAAGACGGUUUUGCUGGCACUUAUGGCUGUAUCCGCGUCGCAUUAGCUAGUUGGUAAGGUAACGGCUUACCAAGGCAACGAUGCGUAGCCGACCUGAGAGGGUGAUCGGCCACACUGGAACUGAGAGGCGGUACAGACUCCUACGGGAGGCAGAAGUAGGGACUCUUCGGAAAUGGGCGAAAGACUGCCGGAGGAACGCAGCGUGAGUGCUGAAGGGCUUCGGACCGUAAAACUCUGUUCUUGGGGAAGACCACAUGUGUAAGUAACUAUGCACGUCUUGACGGUACCUGCACAGAAAGCAACGGCUAACUACGUG
rnacentral:rRNA from 1 species